CAGACCUUCCAGGAGCCUGGCCAUGGGGCUGAGCUGAGCCCUGCUGAGAGAUCACUGACGACACCUGGCUCAAAGGCAAGGGCACCAAAGAUGCGUCAUCUUCCUCCUCCUCCAUCUCCACUCAGGAUACUGCAGAAUCACUGGGCCCAUCAUGAUUCUUCCCUGAAACCAUGGCAAGUGCAUGGAGCAGCUCUCUGAGCACCAGGAAAGGAAAUGGCCAGUGCGCAGCAGUUUGGGAUGGCCGCAGCAGAUGAACUUCAACAGACUCCUGCUCCAUGUGCAGCAAUACAGGACCUUCCAGGGCUAGCUGAUGAGGCCAUGCCAGCACCAGGGGAAGAGCCCCCUUCAGGGACAGAGCUGGAGCUAGAGGCAGCUCCAGAGCCCUCCUGCCCCUGCCCUAAGGAGCUGCCUGACAUUGUGGCACCUGCUCUAGACACUGGCCUCAGCCCUGGAGCUGAAAGCAUGACUGGAGCAAGAGGUGGAAAUAAAAGGGCUGUAAAGUGCUCAGGAUGAACACGAAGUCCUCAGCUAUCGGUCACAUCUUCAGGGGCCG